rnacentral:tRNA from 2 species
GCAGUCGUAGCCGAGUGGUUAAGGCGAUAGACUAGAAAUCCAUUGGGGUCUCCCCACACAGGUUCGAAUCCUGUCGACUGUG